rnacentral:rRNA from 1 species
GAUGAACGCUGGCGGCGUGCCUAAUACAUGCAAGUCGAGCGAACAGACGAGGAGCUUGCUCCUUUGACGUUAGCGGCGGACGGGUGAGUAACACGUGGGUAACCUACCUAUAAGACUGGGAUAACUUCGGGAAACCGGAGCUAAUACCGGAUAAUAUUUCGAACCGCAUGGUUCGAUAGUGAAAUAUGGCUUUGCUAUCACUUAUAGAUGGACCUGCGCCGUAUUAGCUAGUUGGUAAGGUAACGGCUUACCAAGGCAACGAUACGUAGCCGACCUGAGAGGGUGAUCGGCCACACUGGAACUGAGACACGGUCCAGACUCCUACGGGAGGCAGCAGUAGGGAAUCUUCCGCAAUGGGCGAAAGCCUGACGGAGCAACGCCGCGUGAGUGAUGAAGGUCUUCGGAUCGUAAAACUCUGUUAUUAGGGAAGAACAAACGUGUAAGUAACUGUGCACGUCUUGACGGUACCUAAUCAGAAAGCCACGGCUAACUACGUG